rnacentral:rRNA from 1 species
CAGUCGACGGUGAAGAGGAGCUUGCUCCUUGGAUCAGUGGCGAACGGGUGAGUAACACGUGAGCAAUCUGCCCUUGACUCUGGGAUAACUGCGGGAAACUGUAGCUAAUACCGGAUACGACCUUGGAAGGCAUCUUCUGGGGUGGAAAGAAUUUUGGUCAAGGAUGAGCUCGCGGCCUAUCAGCUAGUUGGUGAGGUAAUGGCUCACCAAGGCGACGACGGGUAGCCGGCCUGAGAGGGUGACCGGCCACACUGGGGCUGAGACACGGCCCAGACUCCUACGGGAGGCAGCAGUGGGGAAUAUUGCACAAUGGGCGAAAGCCUGAUGCAGCAACGCCGCGUGAGGGACGAAGGCCUUCGGGUUGUAAACCUCUUUUAGUAGGGAAGAAGCGACUGGGUUUUCCUGGAAGUGACGGUACCUGCAGAAAAAGCACCGGCUAACUACGUGCCAGCAGCCGCGGUAAUACGUAGGGUGCAAGCGUUGUCCGGAAUUAUUGGGCGUAAAGAGCUCGUAGGCGGUUUGUCGCGUCUGCUGUGAAAACCCGAGGCUCAACCUCGGGCCUGCAGUGGGUACGGGCAGACUAGAGUGCGGUAGGGGAGAUUGGAAUUCCUGGUGUAGCGGUGGAAUGCGCAGAUAUCAGGAGGAACACCAAUGGCGAAGGCAGAUCUCUGGGCCGUAACUGACGCUGAGGAGCGAAAGCAUGGGGAGC